CAGGACUGCUGAAAGCAAGUGAAAAAAACUUACCUUGAAAUCAGAAAUAUACUUGGCCUUGGUGGAAAUUGAGAACUGAAGAUGUCAUAGAUGUCCAGUUACAGGGUGUGGCGGCUUGAAUGGGAAUGUCAAAGGUUCAUCUGUUCGAACACGUUGUUCCCAGUCGCUGGGCAAACUGGUGUCCAUGAAAAGGAAAGAGACUGUUUCCCUUGGAAGGGAUUGAGAGGACAAGACGUGGAGUUUCUCUCGUCUGAAGUGCUUGGGACCAGAAGGACUCUGGACUUCAGGCCUGAUGAUCAAUAACACAAUCUAGCACUUGACACAUGGGGUGCGACUGUAACGUCACCCAAAGAUGCGAGCACAGAUACCAGAACGCAGGCAGCCAAUGCGUUCCAUCCGCUGCCUUCACAAGCAGGAAUUAGACCCCAGGAAUGCUGCCAUCUCUUCAAGAGUCAUUCAAAUACCUCCCGUGUCCUCACUAACAACUAACACCGAUGGGGAAGUGCCACAUUGUCACCAGGCUUUCGACUAACCAGCGAGCUCCCUGCUCCCUGGGGCUAUGCUCCAAGGGCACGCACAUUCCAGAGUGAUUAGCCUUUCCUCUGUUGCUACUAGCAGCCCUAAAAGCCAUGGAAAUCAAUACAUAAAUAAAUA